AAGUUGUUUAUUUAAAUUUCUUUUUUCUUCUGAUCAUUCAUAUCCCAGAAGAAAUACAAACAGAAAACGACGACGCACCAAUCCGUUGAGAAAGGGAAGUUACUUUACUCGAGUCUGCUUCUUCAGGUCACGGAGAUAUAUUAUCCAUUAACACCAAUUCAAUUUUCCCUAAUUAGUGUUUUAGUUGUUGGUGAGAUUAAAUUGAAAAAAAGUAAAAAUAAAUGAAGAAAAAUAAAAAUAAAAAGAGUUAGACUUGCAUUAAGUUGACAGUGAUAUUUGGCACUGUAAUAAUAAUAGAGGUGACUGCUUUCUUACACUCUAAUAAUGAUAUUCCUCCUGCCAUCAGAAUCAGAUUUUUCCAAAACAUUGUGAUUUAACAGAAACACAGCACAUUAGCACACUAGCAGAGAGAGAGAGAGAGCUGGCAGCAGGAUACAAAGGCCUUUCAUUUCAUUGCAGUUGGUUGGUGGCAUUCUGGCUCUGAAAAUACUGAACUGAAACUCAGCUGUUUUACUGUUUAGACAAGUUGGGUUUUGCUCCUCUCUAAUGACUACUGCCUUCUCUGAAUCUGCUGGAAGCAUUGACUGAAUUCUGGCUAUACUAUCAAAGAAACAUGAAAUUUGAAUUGAAGAAAAGAUGGAGAGCCAUUGCCCCACAUCAAUUGAAAAACAAAUCAGCUGGCCGUUUUUGUUUAUUUCCCAAAUCAAAGUCAGAUCGCUCUGAUCCGAGACAAGCACCAGUUUAUCUCAAUGUAUAUGAUUUAACACCCAUGAAUGGCUACGUCUAUUGGGCAGGCCUUGGAAUUUUUCACUCUGGUGUUGAAGUUCAUGGUGUAGAAUAUGCAUUUGGAGCACACGACUACCCUACCAGUGGUGUUUUUGAGGUUGAACCUCGCCAAUGCCCAGGAUUCAAGUUCAGGAAGUCUAUAUUUAUUGGGACCACAUCCUUGGACCCUACUCAGGUUAGGGAGUUUAUGGAGCGCCAGUCUUUGAGCUACAAUGGUGAUACAUAUCACCUGAUUGUCAAGAACUGCAACCAUUUCUGCAGGGAUAUCUGUCACAAGUUAACCGGAAAAUCGAUUCCCAAAUGGGUAAAUCGACUGGCAAAAAUAGGUUCAAUAUGCAACUGCGUACUUCCUGAAGCCCUAAAGAUUUCUUCUGUGCAACACGACCCGAACUGCCAGCCAUACGACAGCGAGAAGAGGAGUUUGAGAAGUACGUUCAGUUGCCUGUCUUCUAUUUCAAUGCGGCAGAAGCAAUUGUCAUCAUCAUCGUUAUUUCUACAGUCACCCCUAAAAGGCUGCUUACCGCCAUGGGAAUUGAGAAGGUCGAACAAUGGUUCCUUGAAGGAAAGGUGAGAGAAACUGUUCUAUAGUAUGAUGACUGGCGGGGCGUCCAUAACCUUUAACGAGGGGAAUUUGUUGCUAAGUUUUUGUGCGCCAGCAAUUGAAAGCUGCCAUCACUCAGAUUGUUUUUGUUCUCCCAGGUUAGACGUGACAAAACUCCUCCCAAGUGUAAAUUGUGCUGUUAGCGUAGCUUGUAACAUCGUUGUCUUGGCAAAUGAAUGCAUCAACGUGCAGAAACUUUGAUUCCCAUCUCAAGUAAGGCUUAGGAGGCGGGAAUGGGAUUCACGUUUGAUAAAAUGUACACGAAGCAGUAGAGAGGAAGAGAUUGAGAUAGAUCAUAAAAACAAUCACAACCUAAACUGUUGUACUGUUAAUGGAUAUGAGUAAUGCAAU